rnacentral:rRNA from 1 species
UACGUAGGGUGCGAGCGUUGUCCGGAAUUAUUGGGCGUAAAGAGCUCGUAGGCGGUUGGGUAAGUCGGGUGUGAAAACUCAGGGCUCAACUCUGAGACGCCACUCGAUACUGCUCUGACUCGAGUCCGGUAGGGGAGCGUGGAAUUCCCGGUGUAGCGGUGAAAUGCGCAGAUAUCGGGAGGAACACCAGUGGCGAAGGCGGCGCUCUGGGCCGGAACUGACGCUGAGGAGCGCAAGCGGGGUAGCAAACAGG